CUUGAAAGUUGUGGUUGGUAUUGAGGAACCUGCCAGGGUGGGAGUCCUUGAAUGCCAUGCCAGGUUGACCAGGAGAACCGGGUUCACCACAAGCACCUUUGGGUGAAUCCCUGCUAUCCAUAAUUAAAACAGUGCUGAAGUUACCAUCUCUACAAAAGUUAAAUCCUUUGAUCAAAUUCUCUACCUCUGCCUCUAAAACUUUUCUGAUUCAAUCUAUCACCUCCAAACUUUCUUUGUCUCGCCUGCUUAAGAUCACAAUCCUUUUGUGACCGAUACAACAUACU